UCUCUUGUAUUUGAUCUCCCCCUCCUGCAAUUGAUCUCAUAACAAGAGUGACUGUUCUAGUUCCGCUUCCGGAGUCACCCUGCGAUCUGGACCGUUGCGUCAACCGCGACUGAAACCCUGGAGAAAUCUCGGAAGAUGCGCUUUGUCGUCUUAUAUUUGUCCAAUUGCUGCUUUAACAAGUUGUUCGCUUGACUGAAAUUUUUUGAGCACGGUAAACAUCGAUGUGUGUAAAUUGGAGAGUUUCCAAGUCUUAGCUUCGUGCUAUCCUCGUGGAUUCUCAAAUUUGUAUUUGACAAGCUGCAACUCAUCGUCGCGAGGGUGAAAAGGGUGGAAGCGUUGCCCCCUUCUGAAAUCAGACUGCUAUUAUGAUUUUUUUUUUCUUCAUAAAUGUUUAUUCUCGAUGUUCACGGCAAAUUUUGAGAGGCGUAUGAUUGCUUAACAAUUUGUAGGUGUACAUUCAUUGAGGGGUUAUGAUUAAUUGUUCAUUGAUAUGAAAGCAUCCGAGACAAUAAUACGGGGGAUAAGAUGGUUGGUGGUUUAUCCCUUCAGAUAAGCACGGAGCAUUAGUGAUGGGUACCCGGCAAAUCAUUGUAGAGAUGACUGAUUCACAAGUGGAUUGUGCUGUUGGGGUUGGAAAACUGGUCCCCCUCACAUGUUCGUUUGGUGUCGCAAAAAAGCUUCCUUUGCUCUAGAAGCUCAUAGAAGAUUCUGCUGUAGCAAUGCUUUACGAAGGCUGCCAUGCCAACAUUAGACAGUAUAUUGAUAUUCAAUGCCCUCGUGACUGCAGUGGUUUCCCCAUGGAGAAGAGGCGCAGACCUCACUGCAGUCUGCUGCUUCCAUGGCUUACAAGCAAUCACAUGCAUCGCAUUGCAGCAAGAUAACCCAAUGGACCAACCACCCUCGCACCGCGUACGCCGACCCUUCCGCUGACUUCCAGUUCCCAUCUUUGCUCAGCUACAGCUUCCAUCAGGCUCUGACAACGGAAACGACACCGGAACAGACAGUAGGCACUCCUCUCGCGGGCCCGAUUCCGACGGCAGUGUCGGCAUCGAGGUGGUGGUGCUCGGUGGGGAAAAAAGAAACAUUUGCGCGGGAGUUCGAAUCAUUCAGGACCGCCCGGGGGUCCCACGCAAUCAGAGACCGACAGGUGGCUCUCGAGUGCCACGUCGCAGACACGUUCGACAUGUACGUGUCCACUUUAGUCCUAUGACCGAGGCUCCACCGAUGCGUGGCUGUGGACUAUUCGGUCGCGCGGGAACCCCAGCCGGUGAGCCACCGAGUUUGUGUGUGAAGAGAUUCUGGCUAGUGGUUGGGUCUGGGAUAUGGGCAGAUUGAGAACCCUAAAGCCCUAAAUCACAGUUGCUACAAGUGCUACAAGUGCCACAAGUAGCACUAGCCCAACACAGCCAUCUUCUUUUUCUUCUUCUUUUUCUUCACAACUUUGCUGCAUCAUCCCCUGAAUUAAUCCAACUAUGGUGCAUGCAUGAAAUAGGCAACCAUGGGUCUCACCACCUCCUCUCUCAGGCUUAACCCCUGCCUUUGGUACUUUACAUUCAUGCUGUCUAAUAAUAUGCAAUGUUCUCAUGCACUUAGUGGCAAACUGUGCAUGUUUAGUUUUUCAUCUGUUGCUGCAGUUGCUUUCAUAACUUGGGGUUCAGAUACAGUGGAGUUCCAAAACCUGGAUGCAACAUCUGGAUGGCAUAAAAUAGAAACCAACAUGAUUCCUUUGUAGACUUUGGAUACAAUGUGGAAAAAUGCCUUCAAUAGGA